CACAGAGGCCAUCUUUGGCUCAUUUAUGUAACCAUUCAUCCCUUGAAGAACAUCUGGGUUGUUUCCAGUGGGCAAUUAUAAACAGAGCCUCUAUCAACAUUCCUGUACCAGUUUUAGAAUGAACAUAAAUUUAUAUUUCUCUAAGUACUCAGGAGUAGAAUUGACGUUCUGUCAUAUGGAUAGCCACUGAGCAAGCCUGUAAGGCUAUUGGUCUGCCCAUUCUGGUUUCUUCACCAAUGAGAAAACUGGGACCUGGGGAGUUUGCAGAAGCCAUCCAAGGGCACCUGCUUCUCACAGCACAGCAGCUUCCUGCAGCCCUCCCUCCUGUCUUGUUUCUCCCUUAAUUGAGAGGAGAGGCCAGAACCAGAUGCAGGCAGUUCCAACAGUAAUGAAUUGCUCUAAGGUGUGGAUCCAAGAACCGGUGACAAGGUCAGGAAAUUCCAUCCCGGGACACUGACCCAACUAAGAGACUGUGCAUGAUGGCUAAGUUCAGAGCUCUGAGGAGAUGGUAAAACUCAUUUGCAACGAAACAAGAUAUUUUCCAACUCUGCAGCCAGGUGCAGAAAGCUGGAAGUGAUGCUCCAGGGAGUUUAUGUCUCCCCAUCUUGACCCACACCAAUACCUGAGGCUCGUUGCUUUGAUUCAAGUCCGGACAAGCUCUAAGGUUCAGCUCACACUGGGAGUCACGCUGCAGGAGCUCCUGGGAGUCUGUGAACGGUGGUGAUGCAGAAAAGCAAAGCGUGUAUAUCUGUUUUAGUCCUCCCUCAGA
rnacentral:lncRNA from 1 species